CCUGAUCACCCAUAGGAGGUCCAGCCUGCCCAGUGACUAAGUUAAACGGCCGCGGUACCCUAACCGUGCAAAGGUAGCGCAAUCACUUGUUCUUUAAAUGAGGACUAGUAUGAACGGCAUCACGAGGGUUAUGCUGUCUCCCUACUCUACUCAGUGAAACUGAUCUCCCCGUGAAGAAGCGGGGAUAAAAAUAUAAGACGAGAAGACCCCAUGGAGCUUUAAACUCAGUACCAACUGCCCAAAUAAUAGCCUAUUACCCCUGCAGCUAUGGUUACUAGUUUUCGGUUGGGGUGACCACGGAGUAAAAUUUAACCUCCACGAUGAAAGGAACUAAUAUUCUAACCCAUGAGCUACAGCUCUAAGUAUCAACAAAUUGACUAAUUGACCCAAUUACUUGAUCAACGAACCA
rnacentral:rRNA from 1 species